GAUGAACGCUGGCGGCGUGCCUAAUACAUGCAAGUCGAGCGAACAGAUGAGGAGCUUGCUCCUCUGACGUUAGCGGCGGACGGGUGAGUAACACGUGUAUAACCUACCUAUAAGACUGGGAUAACUUCGGGAAACCGGCGCUAAUACCGGAUAAUAUAUUGAACCGCAUGGUUCAAUAGUGAAAGACGGUUUUGCUGUCACUUAUAGAUGGAUCCGCGCCGCAUUAGCUAGUUGUUAAGGUAACGGCCUACCAAGGCAACGAUGCGUAGCCGACCUGAGAGGGUGAUCGGCCACACUGGAGCUGAGACACGGUCCAGACUCCUACGGGAGGCAGCAGUAGGGAAUCUGCCGCAAUGGGCGAAAGCCUGACGGAGCAACGCCGCGUGAGUGACGAAGGUCUUCGGAUCGUAAAACUCUGUUAUUAGGGAAGAACAAAUGUGUAAGUAACUAUGCACGUCUUGACGGUACCUAAUCAGAAAGCCACGGCUAACUACGUG
rnacentral:rRNA from 1 species